UGCCUACGGGGGGCAGCAGUGAGGAAUAUUGGUCAAUGGGCGGGAGCCUGAACCAGCCAAGUCGCGUGAAGGAAGAAGGUACUUAGUAUUGUAAACCUCUUUUGUCGGGGAGCAAAGCGAACCACGUGUGGUUCAUUGAGAGUACCCGAAGAAAAAGCAUCGGCUAACUCCGUGCCAGCAGCCGCGGUAAUACGGAGGAUGCGAGCGUUAUCCGGAUUUAUUGGGUUUAAAGGGUGCGCAGGCGGAGGUGCAAGUCAGCGGUCAAAUUGCGGGGCUCAACCCCGUACUGCCGUUGAAACUGCAUC
rnacentral:rRNA from 1 species